CCCUUAGAUGUCCUGGGCCGCACGCGCGUUACACUGAUGCAUUCAACGAGCUUAUAACCUUGGCCGAGAGGCCUGGGCAAUCUUGUUAACGUGCAUCGUGAUAGGGAUAGAUUAUUGAAAUUAUUAAUCUUGAACGAGGAAUUCCUAGUAAACGCAGAUCAUCAAUCUGCAUUGAUUACGUCCCUGCCCUUUGUACACACCGCCCGUCGCACCUACCGAUUGAAUGGUCCGGUGAAGCCUCGGGAUUGUGGCCAGUUCACUUUAUUGGGAGUUGGCUGUGAGAACUUGUCUAAACCUUAUCAUUUAGAGGAAGGUGAAGUCGUAACA
rnacentral:rRNA from 1 species